ensembl:lncRNA
ACCAUAAGUCACUCUGUUUCCCUUUUAUUGUUUCGGAUACUUCACAUGACAUAUUACAUCAAUAUCUAAAUGAGUACAAAUGAGUAGACCAGCAGUAAGCAGACUCGAUAAACAAUUAAAAAGUAGUGCCAUAAAACACAAACUACGUACAACCUUUGAGAGUCUUUCAUGUUAUUACCAGGUGCAUUUGUAAAAACAGUUAUAUUUAUGCUCAUGUUAUGUCAGCAGAAUAAACACAGAGCUUCUCAGUGUACUUCAAUCCCAAAUAGUUACAGAUUAUCACCAGGGUCAUACAAUAGCUUUGAGAAAAGAACAAAAGUGAUAGUUAAAAUAUCAUAACAUUAUAAAUAUAUGAAAUAAAUAACAGGUUAAUAAGUUACAAUAAGGAUAAUAAAUUACGUUCCUUACAAUCCAUCAAGUUCGUAAAUAACUCACUAUGUGUACAACAUGUAAAUGUGGGUUCUUCUUAGUCUCUUGUUCCAGUCCACUUAAUAAUUCCACAGAACUGCUGUAACAACUGCAACAACUAAAUAGAAACUUGUCCUGUUGAUGACUGCAGAGGAAGCUGUGGUGGUGGUUGUUGUUGCAAAUGUAGACGGAGCUGCUGUUGUCAUUGCGGCUGCUGAUAUUGUUGUUGGGUUGGCUGUUGUUGCCGGUGCGGUUGGUGUUGUUGCAGCAGCAAUUGUCAUUGUUGCGGAUGAUGUUGUUGUAGGUGCUGUGGUUAUUUGUGGGGUGUUCGUGGUUGUUGACGGUGCUACUGUAGUUGUUGCAGCUGGCACAGUAGUUGUUGCGGCUGCUACUGUAGUUGCUGCGGGUGCAGCUGUAGUUGUUAGAGCUGCUGUAGUUGUGGCUGGGGCUCUUGUUGUGGUUGCUGCUGCUGCUGUUGGGUUGGCUGUGGUUGUUGCAGCUACCACUGUAGUCAUUGAUGGUGCAGGUGUAGUUGUUAGAGCUGCUGUAGUUGUGGCUGGGGCAUUUGUGGUGGUUGCUGCUGCUGCAGUUGUUGCUGCUGCUACUGUAGUUAUUGCACCUGGUACUGUAGUUGUUGUGGCUACCACUGUAGUUGUUGCGGCUGCUACUGUUGAGGUUGUUACUGUAGUUGUUGCAGGUGCAGCUGUAUUUGUUAGAGCUGCUGUAGUUGUGGCUGGGGCAUCUGUGGUGGCUGCUGCUCCUGCAAUUGUUGUGGUUGCUGCUGUUGUUGUCGGGUUUACUGUAGUUGAGGCGGCUGGUACCGUAGUUGUUGCGGCUACCACUGUAGUUGUAGCAGCUGCUACUGUAGUUGUAGCGGCUGCUACUGUAGUUGCUGCGGGUGCAGCUGUAGUUGUUAGAGCUGCUGUAGUUGUGGCUGGGGCAUUUGUGGUGGUUGCUGCUGCUGCAGCUGUUGCUGCUGCUACUGUAGUUAUUGCAGCUGUAGUUGGUGUGGCUACCAAUGUAGUUGUUGCGGCUGCUACUGUAGUUGUUGCAGGUGCAGCUGUAGUUGUUAGAGCUGCUGUAGUUGUGGCUGGGGCAUCUGUGGUGGCUGCUGCUCCUGCAGUUGUUGUGGUUGCUGCUGUUGUUGUCGGGUUUACUGUAGUUGUUGCGGCUGGUACCGUAGUUGUUGCGGCUACCACUGUAGUUGUAGCAGCUGCUACUGUAGUUGUAGCGGCUGCUACUGUAGUUGCUGCGGGUGCAGCUGUAGUUGUUAGAGCUGCUGUAGUUGUGGCUGGGGCAUCUGUGGUGGCUGCUGCUCCUGCAGUUGUUGUGGUUGCUGCUGUUGUUGUCGGGUUUACUGUAGUUGUUGCGGCUGGUACCGUAGUUGUUGCGGCUACCACUGUAGUUGUAGCAGCUGCUACUGUAGUUGUAGCGGCUGCUACUGUAGUUGCUGCGGGUGCAUCUGUAGUUGUUAGAGCUGCUGUAGUUGUGGCUGGGACAUCUGUGGUGGUCGCUGCCACUGAAGUUGUUGUUGGGUUGGCUGUAGUUGUUGUGGCUACCACUGUAGUUGUUGCGGAUGCUGCUGUAGUUGUUUCAGCUGGUACUGUAGUUGCUGCUGCUGCAGUUGUUGCAGAUGCUGCUAUGGUUGUUGCAGCUGGUACUGUAGUUGUUGCUGCUGCUGCAGUUGUUGCAGGUGCAGCUGUAGUUGUUCCGGAUGCUACUGUAGUUGUUCCAGCUGGUACUGUAGUUGUUGCGGCUGCCACUGUAGUUGUGUCAGCUGCAUUUGUGGUAGUUGCUGCUGCUGCAGUUGUUGUUGCGUUUGCUGUAGUUGUUGCGGCUGGUACCGUAGUUGUUGCCGCUGCUACUGUUGUUGCUGGAGCUGGUACUGUAGUUGUUGUUGGGUUGGCUGUAGUUGUUGCGGCUGGUACCGUAGUAGUUGUGGCUGCCACUGUAGUUGUUGCGGCUGCUCCUGUGGUUGUGGCGGCUGCUACUGUAGUAGUUCCAGCUGGUAGUUCAGUUGUUGUUGGGUUGGCUGUAGUUGUUGCGGCUGCUACCGUGGUUGUUGCAGCUGGUGCUGUAGUUGAUGCAGCUGGUACUGUUGUUGUUGCAGGUGCAGCUGUAGUUGUUACAGCUGCAGUAGUUGUGGCUGGGGUAUUUGUGGUGGUUGCUGCCACUGAAGUUGUUGUUGGGUUGGCUGUAG